rnacentral:tRNA from 1 species
GUUGCUAACUCAAUGGUAGAGUACUCGGCUUUUAAGUGACUAGUUCCGGGUUCGAUCCCCGGGCAACCCAAAA